rnacentral:rRNA from 1 species
UACGUAGGGUGCAAGCGUGUCCGGAAUUACUGGGCGUAAAGCGCACGUAGGCGGCUUUUUAAGUCAGGGGUGAAAUCCCGGGGCCUCAACCCCGGAACUGCCUUUGAAACUGGAGAGCUAGAAUCUUGGAGAGGCGAGUGGAAUUCCGAGUGUAGAGGUGAAAUUCGUAGAUAUCGGAAGAACACCAGUGGCGAAGGCGACUCGCUGGACAAGUAUUGACGCUGAGGUG